GCCAGGAAGAGGAAGAAAAAGAGUGUAUGAGAGCAGUGGGAAUGAGAACAUCUGAGGAAAGACUAGCCCUGAAGGUGGAAAUUUAGUGGGGUGUUUUUCCUGAUGCCUCUCAUUCCUAUUGUUCUCAUGCACUCCUUCCUUUUCCUUUUGGCU
rnacentral:pre_miRNA from 1 species